rnacentral:rRNA from 1 species
AGAGUUUGAUCCUGGCUCAGAUUGAACGCUGGCGGCAGGCCUAACACAUGCAAGUCGAACGGUAACAGGAAGCAGCUUGCUGCUUCGCUGACGAGUGGCGGACGGGUGAGUAAUGUCUGGGAAGCUGCCUGAUGGAGGGGGAUAACUACUGGAAACGGUAGCUAAUACCGCAUAAUGUCGCAAGACCAAAGAGGGGGACCUUCGGGCCUCUUGCCAUCGGAUGUGCCCAGAUGGGAUUAGCUUGUUGGUGGGGUAACGGCUCACCAAGGCGACGAUCCCUAGCUGGUCUGAGAGGAUGACCAGCCACACUGGAACUGAGACACGGUCCAGACUCCUACGGGAGGCAGCAGUGGGGAAUAUUGCACAAUGGGCGCAAGCCUGAUGCAGCCAUGCCGCGUGUAUGAAGAAGGCCUUCGGGUUGUAAAGUACUUUCAGCGGGGAGGAAGGGAGUAAAGUUAAUACCUUUGCUCAUUGACGUUACCCGCAGAAGAAGCACCGGCUAACUCCGUGCCAGCAGCCGCGGUAAUACGGAGGGUGCAAGCGUUAAUCGGAAUUACUGGGCGUAAAGCGCACGCAGGCGGUUUGUUAAGUCAGAUGUGAAAUCCCCGGGCUCAACCUGGGAACUGCACCUGAUACUGGCAAGCUUGAGUCUCGUAGAGGGGGGUAGAAUUCCAGGUGUAGCGGUGAAAUGCGUAGA